rnacentral:tRNA from 1 species
AGUGGGAUGGUGUAAUGGUAACACAGAAGAUUUUGAUUCUUCUAUUGUGAGUUCGACUCUCGCUCCCACCGCCA